UGUGGACCAGCCUAAGUAAACGAAGAGCUAAAAAGUGUCCCUUAAUCAGUUCGAGAACGAUUUUGAUCCCAUGGCAGGUCCUCGCACAGCAGAUUGAUCAGGAGAUUUACUUGAUAGAGACGCACCACUGUAAUUAAGGAUCUGGCAUGGUAUGCCACGUUUUCCCGCUGCAUAAGAGUUAUGAGGUCAUCCAAGUUUAGGGGAUGUGGCUUUUUCCUGGACGAGUCAUGUAACACCUCGAAUUUUUGUGUUCAAUAAUGUGU
rnacentral:lncRNA from 1 species